rnacentral:rRNA from 1 species
UGGAUUAGGCAUGCAAGUCGAACGAGGAAGUGCCCCGUAAGGGGCGCAAGCCUAGUGGCGAAAGGGUGAGUAAUGCAUUGAUAACNUGCNUUUGAGAUGGGAAUAACUGCGUUUCGAGCAAUCGGAACUACCGAAAGGGCUGCUAAUACCCAAUAAUACUAUAGGUGCAAAAGCACUUGUGGUCAAAUGCUAGGAAUUCUGUUCCUUGUGCUUAAAGAGGGGUUAAUGUCCUAUCAGCUAGUUGGUGGGGUAAUGGCCUACCAAGGCAAAGACGGGUAGCCGGCUUGAGAGGGUGGUCGGCCACACUGGGACUGAGACACUGCCCAGACUCCUACGGGAGGCUGCAGUCGAGAAUCUUUCGCAAUGCCCGAAAGGGUGACGAAGCGACGCCGCGUGUGGGAAGAAGGCCUUCGGGUUGUAAACCACUGUCGGGAGUUAGGAAAUGCAGGUGCGUUAAUAGCGCACUUGCUUGACUAAGGCUCCAGAGGAAGCCACGGCUAACUCUGUGCCAGCAGCCGCGGUAAUACAGAGGCGGCAAGCGUUGUUCGGAAUUAUUGGGCGUAAAGAGCACGUAGGCGGCCUUGCAAGUCAGUUGUGAAAGCCUUCCGCUUAACGGAAGAACGGCAUCUGAUACUACAGGGCUUGAGUACGGGAGGGGAGAGUGGAACUUCUGGU